rnacentral:rRNA from 1 species
UCCCCUAGUAACUGCGAGUGAAGAGGGAAGAGCUCAAAUUUAAAAUCUGGCAGUGCUUUGCUGUCUGAGUUGUAAUCUAGAGAAGUGCUGCCCGUGCUGGACCAUGUACAAGUCUCCUGGAAUGGAGCGUCAUAGAGGGUGAGAAUCCCGUCUUUGACAUGGACUGCCAGUGCAUUGUGGUGUGCUCUCAAAGAGUCGAGUUGUUUGGGAAUGCAGCUCUAAAUGGGUGGUAAACUCCAUCUAAAGCUAAAUAUUGGCGAGAGACCGAUAGCGAACAAGUACCGUGAGGGAAAGAUGAAAAGAACUUUGGAAAGAGAGUUAAACAGUAUGUGAAAUUGUUGAAAGGGAAACGCUUAAAGUCAGUCAUGUCGGCCAGGGAUCAACUCAGUUUUUUGCUGGGUGUACUUCCUGAUCUGAUGGGCCAACAUCAGUUUUGACUGCUGGAGAAGGGUAGAGGGAAUGUGGCACCUCCGGGUGUGUUAUAGCUCUCUGUCGUAUGCAGUGGUUGGGACUGAGGAAAGCAGCAUGCCGCAAGGCCGGGUUUCGACCACGUUCAUGCUGAGGAUGUUGGCAUAAUGGCUUUAAUCGACCCGUCUUGAAACACGGACCAAGGAGUCUAACAUGCCUGCGAGUGUUUGGGUGGUAAACCCGAGUGCGGAAUGAAAGUGAAAGGNUGAGAUCCCUGUCAUGGGG